AUGGCUGGUCUUUGUUUCCGUUUCUUCGAGGAAGGGCAUCUCAGGAAGGACUGCACCAACGACAUCGUUUGCUUCCGCUGUAGCCUUCCUGGCCAUGUCUCCAAGGACUACAAGCGACCUAGGAGUCCGUCCCCGGAGGAGGAUCUCAGGCGCCUCAUCGCGUCCAAGGUGGCCCAACGCGAGUUGGGGGGUGUCGGUGGCGCGCGCGGCCAUGACAACGGCUCUCCCCCGCUUUCGCCACCGCCGCCGCCUCCCGCUGUGCACGCCCCCCCAGCGGCUUGGCCAAGGGUCGUGGCCUCCCGCCUGCAAAGCUCGCCGGCGGAGGAGCUCGCGCCAAACGACCUUUGCAUCACUAGGCACACCCAGGGCUUGGGAGAUCUCGAGCGGAGACUCCAGUUGGCCAUGGUGGCCUACGUGGGCGGCGCCAACAGAGGCAUCUUGCCAGAGUUCGUGUUGGAGGCUCUAAGCGAAGUUCUAAAAAUUGGGCCAGAGUGGCUGUCGGUGCACCCCUACCGUCCUGAGGACUUCCUGGUGGUGUUCGGCAGGCCGGAGCACAAGAACCUCAUGGCGAGCUAG
rnacentral:rRNA from 1 species